rnacentral:rRNA from 1 species
GCUAAGAANUGCAGUCGAGCGAGCUUGCCUAGAUGAUUUUAGUGCUUGCACUAAAUGAAACUAGAUACAAGCGAGCGGCGGACGGGUGAGUAACACGUGGGUAACCUGCCCAAGAGACUGGGAUAACACCUGGAAACAGAUGCUAAUACCGGAUAACAACACUAGACGCAUGUCUAGAGUUUGAAAGAUGGUUCUGCUAUCACUCUUGGAUGGACCUGCGGUGCAUUAGCUAGUUGGUAAGGUAACGGCUUACCAAGGCAAUGAUGCAUAGCCGAGUUGAGAGACUGAUCGGCCACAUUGGGACUGAGACACGGCCCAAACUCCUACGGGAGGCAGCAGUAGGGAAUCUUCCACAAUGGACGAAAGUCUGAUGGAGCAACGCCGCGUGAGUGAAGAAGGGUUUCGGCUCGUAAAGCUCUGUUGGUAGUGAAGAAAGAUAGAGGUAGUAACUGGCCUUUAUUUGACGGUAAUUACUUAGAAAGUCACGGCUAACUACGUGCCAGCAGCCGCGGUAAUACGUAGGUGGCAAGCGUUGUCCGGAUUUAUUGGGCGUAAAGCGAGUGCAGGCGGUUCAAUAAGUCUGAUGUGAAAGCCUUCGGCUCAACCGGAGAAUAGCAUCAGAAACUGUUGAACUUGAGUGCAGAAGAGGAGAGUGGAACUCCAUGUGUAGCGGUGGAAUGCGUAGAUAUAUGGAAGAACACCAGUGGCGAAGGCGGCUCUCUGGUCUGCAACUGACGCUGAAGCUCGAAA